GCCAUGUUUCAAUAUUGUCACAUUCAAGAAAUACUCAUAUAAAUUAAAUCUGAAAUGUACGUAAGAAAUAAUUACUUUGUGAGUCUAGAAAUGACCAAAGCCCAGGCUUUGCAGUAGUAGGGGAUGUAUCUAUAUAGAUCUAUAGAAAUCUUGAAGAUCUGAUGUAUAAUCUAAGGCAAUUAUAUAUGUGCUGAAACAGAUUAACCAUCCUAAAUGUUUACAAUAAACCUCCGGAAUCUUCCACUCUAAACUCUAAUUAACCUCUGGUUAUGUAAUCAAUGAAUGGAAAUAGGAUCAUUUUGGCACUACCCAUCCGUUCCCUCCCUUGAUUUCGAGCUGCGUGGACGUGUUUACAGAUAUAUUUAAAUAAAUUUGAAUUAGACUGCAAUUUCUCAACACUGAAAAAUGUAAGUAGAUCUAGAGUUUUUUACUUUAAUCUUUAAAAUAAACCCUUCUAAUAUAUUAAUGUAUUUAAACCUGCACGGAAUUAGUGUUUUAAAACCUGUUAUACUAUCCACGUGACCAGGUCAUGUGAUUAAUACAAAAUGGCGGAUUGGUAAUGGAAAAUACUUUGAUGUUUUCAGACAGCAAAUUUAUGUCUAAUUGGAGGAGAUAGUGUGGAGAGCAAUGUUCGCCGUGUUAUGUCUCACACUUUGUCUCAGGAAGUUGCCCUAGAAUACAACUGGGUUGGAAAAGGCUCGAAAAAACCAUUCGAAAAACUUAGACUUAAAACAGUCAUAUUAGAUGCUGUAAGAGGAAGUAGACAGGGGUCUACUCAUAAUGAAAUCGAGAAGACAAAAAAGGAGUGGCUAAGAUAUGCCAAGGAUAGGGGAGGCGGGCGGAGGAAGAGACUGGCUAAAAAGUUGCAACAACAAAGAGAAGAAAAUGAAAAUGAUAUGUAUACAACAUUUAGAAAUAAAUUGUAGUAAUUAGAAUAUUUUAUGUUCUUUUAUUUUACGGUCUCUCUGAAUUCUAGGAGACAUGCUGUUUUUGGUCUUGUCAUCUGAGGGCCAGCGUUAGUAGUAAGAAACAAGUAAUUGGGCCAAUGGAGGGCCAACAAUAAGAGUAGGAAACAAAGUGAUAGGCCAACUGAGAGCCAACUUAGAUAGUAGAAAAUAAGGCAUUGGGCCAACGAAGGGCCAAUGUUUAUUAUAGGAAACCAGUCAGUGGGCCAACGGGGGGCUAACAAUAAGAAGGG